CUCAAAACUUUUUGGGGAUUCUUUUUCUUAUAUUUGUUACGCGCUCAUAUCUGCGUGCUUCUUACAUAACAUUGACACUUUAAGAAAAGUCAUGAAAGAAGAACAGGGGGGGGGGGGCGCUGCAGGUCGGUUCUGGUUCCGUCGGUCGGAACAUUCCUGCAGGAGUGGGUGUGGCAUCAGACCCAGUUCAUUGUUUCCUGUUUAGGAGCGCAGACUCCGAAUUUCCCUUAAGGCAGAGGAACCGGAGAGUCCGUCCGUUCAGGACCGUGACGCUUCCUCCCAGAACUGAAAGAUCAGCUCCACUGCAGGUCCACGGAACCGAACCUAAGAACUCCAAACCUCUAGACCUGCAGUUCUCAUUCCUGCUGCCACUCUUCUGAAAGUUUGGACUCUUUUUAAACCAAAGAAGUUUGGAUGGAUUUCUGAAGCUGAAAGGAAAUGAGUGCUGCUCAGGAUCUCAUUGAUCGGGAUCUCUGAUGAGGAUCUCAUUGGUCAGGUUCUUGUUUGUCAGGAUCUCGUUGGUCAGGAUCUCAUUGAUCGGGAUUNNNNNNNNNNUCAUUGGUCAGGUUCUUAUUGAUCAGGAUUUCAUUGGUCAGGUUCUUAUUGAUCAGGAUUUCAUUGGUCAGGUUCUUAUUGAUCAGGAUCUCAUUGGUCAGGUUCUUAUUGAUCAGGAUUUCAUUGGUCAGGUUCUUAUUGAUCAGGAUUUCAUUGGUCAGGUUCUUAUUGAUCAGGAUCUCAUUGGUCAGGUUCUUGUUGGUCAGGAUCUCUGAUCAGGAUCUCGCUCUUUCUUCCAGGUCCAUUCCAUUACAGUACAGGAAAUGUUUCUGCUCGAUACGAGACGGACAUCACUCCAGCUGGAUGGACCUUCUCCAUCUGGGGGGUCAUCUAUACGUGGUUGACUCUGAUGGUCAUUUAUGUCACGUCAUUAGCUUUCAGAGGGACCUGGGCUCAGUAUCUGCUGCCCUUUGGCUUUCACUUCUCCUGGCUGUUCAACAUGCUCCUGAACGUCACGUGGCUUCUCCUGUGGGACAGGGAGUUGAUGCUAGUUGCCAUGGUUGUGUUGCUGCUGAUGGUCAUCACCAACUUCAGCGCCUUGUUCUUCUGCUGCUCUGCCACAGACUAUUAUGGUUUGUGGCUAAAGAGAUACCAUGGAAAAGACCUGGCCUCUCUCAUCCUGCUGGUCCAGAAUGGCUUGGCCGUCUACACAACAUGGACUUCUGUUGCUUCUCUCAUCAACUUUUCUCUGGUUCUUCACCUGUGGAAUGUGAACAAGAGCACAGCAGCAACAGCAUCUCUGUGCAUCCUGUUUGCUGAGGUGGCGGGCUGGUUCAUCCUGGAGAACUGGGUUCUGGACCGCUGGGUUCGUAACAUCAUCACAGUGUAUCCGGUGGUGAUCGUGGCUCUGGUUGGGAACGUCUAUAAACACUUCAGCAUGGCGGAUCCCACUCCGAAUUCUGUGUUCAUGGUGGUUCUGCUGGUUCUGGCAUGCAUCCUCUUCAUCUCUCGUAUUUUCACGGUCAUCUGGAGGAACAAGUGGCGCCCGCUGUACUCGCCAGGUUCUGCUCGGCUGAUGGUGUCCCCGCUCGACGGCAGUCGGGUCAAAGCCCUUUCCUAAGGGGACGGCCUGCUACGCAGGACUUCCGUCCGGACCUGAAGGUGGAACCGCUUAUGAAGUGAGACUCUGUUUGGGUGGAGAGAAGAAACCAGAGGAGGAGCUCUGAUGGUCCUUUAAUCACAGCCUCCAGCUUUCUACGCUCUUGAUCUGCAGCAUUUAUGGCUUCCUCAUUUAAAACAACCUAUUAACCUAUUCAGCCUUAUGUAUGAUUUUUAUUCUUUUGUACUUAAACACCACAACAGUCUAGAAUGAAAUGUCAAAAAAAAAACAUUUUGUCUCUUUCAUUUGAUGCUGAAACAAACGUUACAAUCUUUCUGUUCAAUAAAUGUUGCUUGUCUUUUAUUUUGUGGUCAUUCGUGUUGGGUCAUCUGUGUUGGGUCAUCCGUGUUGGGUCAUCCGUGGUGGGGUCAUUCGUGUUGGGGUCAUCCGUGUUGGGGUCAUUCGUGUUGGGGUCAUUCGUGUUGGGUCAUCCGUGUUGGGGUCAUUCGUGUUGGGGUCAUCCGNNNNNNNNNNNNNNNNNNNNNNNNNNNNNNNNNNNNNNNNNNNNNNNNNNNNNNNNNNNNNNNNNNNNNNNNNNNNNNNNNNNNNNNNNNNNNNNNNNNNUGUUGGGGUCAUCCGUGUUGGGUCAUUCGUGUAGGGGUCAUUCGUGUUGGGGUCAUCCGUGUUGGGGUCAUUCGUGUUGGGGUCAUUCGUGUUGGGGUCAUCCGUGUUGGGUCAUUUGCAUGGUUGUCAGUAACGCUGUGAGCUGUGUGGCGGUCUGUCGUGGCGCCACGCUCUCACAUGAACAACUAUAAACAGUUUAGACUAAUCAAUGAGGCGAUUUGAGCCAGAGCCUGAUUUCCAUUUCCUGAUUUCACUUUAUUACACAUAACUUCAUUUAUAGACAUAAAUGUUUGGAUUUCUUUCUAUUUGUGCAUCACUUGGGUUGAUGCCGACAUCUGGUGAAAAUUUUGUGUCAAUAGCUCGAUUAGACAUAUGUUUUUGGAGAGAAAUGUUGACGUGUUCAACACUUAUUUUCCCCUCUGUAUUUGUCUGUUUCUGCAUUUUCUCACAGAUGAAAUCAUUCUUCACGUUUCAUUUCAUCUUUUUGAACUAUAAUCAUUUUGACGUCAGCAGCGACGCGAUGCCCCUUUUCUGUUGUACAAAGUCGGCUCCUGAGCAGAACCGCUGUGACCUUUGUCACCGUUGACUGAGCUGGCAUUUCUGAGGAGGACAAACACGAAAAUAGUUCAGACAAACUGUGGCUUUGCAAAUAUUAUCAGGCCCUGUUUCAUUCCAUCAGGAAGAGAAAGUGAAAUUCAGACUGGAAUGAAGUUUCACCACAGAGAGAACAUGAAACUCACCAUAAAUGAACCAUUCAGCAUUCUAGAAAAAGGUCACCUCCAAAUAAAACCAGAGGGAUGUCUCAAAGGACAAAAGAAACUUAAGUUGGUCAAAAGUUAAAAGACCAUCUCUAAAAAGCGUGACAUUUCUGAGACGACAGCAGCUCAUUCUAGCAGAAGAUGAAGCUCCACAGGACUGCAGAACUCCAUUGACGUGUCUGCAAGAGGAGAAGAAGAGGAGCAUCCCAGCUGAAGGUCAUAGAAACAAGACGGACAUUUGCUCCAAGACCCAAAGUUCCCCUGGGAGACGAGGAAACUAAACCGGAGCUUUAUGGGAACAUCAAGCAAACCAAGUAAGGGACUCUGCUGUGAAAAACACAAACAUCUGUCUCAGAUCUGCAGGAACAAUUUAAAGCUCAAGACUAUUAAGAUGUUCCAAAGCCUAAUAUGUUUGCUGAAAGCUUUGCCUCUGAUCUCGGUCCACAGGCCUUCCACCAGGAUCUGGACCUGGACAGAUCAUGGAGCUGUUCUGAGGUGGUCUAUGAAGUAUGUGGUAUCAGCUGAGGCAUGCUGAACAACAAGGGGGUUUGAAAGCCUUAAAAGAAAGUUUUAGAAGGUCCCCUGCAGGAAGAAUUAGCCAAAAUGUAGCAAAGAAAAACUGGGAAGUACUUCUAGAAAACACACAGUAUUCCAGUUAAUAUUAAUAUUAACAAAAAAGUCUGAAGUGGUGAGGACAUCGUGUGAACGUCAUCAUUCUGUAAAUUUAACGUUAAAACAAAUGACAAGUUGCAUCUAUUUUUCUGCAAGACUAUAAACCUGCAGUGUUUCCUGUUUGCCAAGAGUUUGAUAUUUACCUACAACACUCAGUCAUUUAAAAGGAUUAAAAAUGUUAUGACUGUAAAACUUUCUCUAAACUUUAGAGAUGUAGAACACAAAGGCAUUUAGAAGGAAAACAAGUUUGCCUUUAGUUUGUUGAAUUUCUGUUUAAGACGUUUUGAUGUGAAUUUCCAGCUACGUCCUAUGGGAGUCACAGAGUAAUGGGAAUGAAUUCUUGAAAGGAGUCCAGCAGCUUUUCUUCACCUCACCCUGCCAUGUAUGGAAGCGUUUCUGUCUCAUAAUACAAAAUAAAAGUCAGUACCGGAAAAGCUUUUUCAUUUUCACAAUAAAGCUGCAUUCGCCGACUCAUAAAUAAAAUUAAAAAUCCAAACCGCUUUUUCUAUUUCAACACCACUCAUUCUAUCAUCUAAUUAAAACGAUAAAGAAAAUGGUAUUUGACAUUUCAUUUUCAAAAAGUUCGCUGGUAAAUGUGUAGCAAAAUUCAUUUAGAAAUAUUUAAUUUGACAAUUAAAAUGGAUUAACAGAAAUGCUUUUUCAUUUUCACAAUAUAAAUGCAUCAAAUGACUCAAAAAUAAAAAUAAAUAAUCCAAAAUACUUUUUCAUUUUCUACUUGAACAUCUCACAUUCUGUGACAUAAUUAAAGCGAUAAUGCAGGAGAAGAAGAAGGGAUUGCAUUUUUGUUUUCACAUCCACAGCCAAAAAAAUGUAAUAAUUCAAUUCCAGUUAGCGGAUCCAGGGGGGAGUGAGAGAAUUGAUUUUUCAUUUAAUUUUUGAGUCAACCAAUGCAGCUUUAUUGAGAAAAUAAAAAAGCAUUUUGGGUAUUGACUAUAAGGCUACGUUCGCACUGCAGGCUGAAACGACCCAAUUCCGAAUUUUUUGCCCCUAUGAGACCCAAUUCCGAUUUUUACAUGACAGUCUGAAUGACACAGAUCCGAUCUUUUCAAUUGCAACCCAGGCCACUUGGGUUUGCCGUCCUGAAUCCGAAACGUAUCCGCUCUUUUCAAUUGCGACCACCGUCUGACCGGCCAGGCCACCUGGUUCCGAAUCGUACGUCAUCAAUACGCUACACACGUCAUCAUUCUGCGUUGAAAUUAGGCGGGAACGAGGACGAAAAUAACAACCAUGGCGGACGCUGCAUCAGAGAACAGUCAGUGGAAGGGAAGCGAAGUACCUGAUUUGAUCAAUAUUUGGGGCGAUUGUUCUAUCCAGGGAAAACUUGAGGGCUCUUAUAGGAAUAGGGCGUUUUUUGAAGAAAUUGCGACAGAAAUGAACGAGCG
ensembl:lncRNA